UACGUAGGGUGCGAGCGUUAAUCGGAAUUACUGGGCGUAAAGCGUGCGCAGGCGGUUUUGUAAGACAGAUGUGAAAUCCCCGGGCUUAACCUGGGAACUGCGUUUGUGACUGCAAGGCUAGAGUACGGCAGAGGGGGGUGGAAUUCCUGGUGUAGCAGUGAAAUGCGUAGAUAUCAGGAGGAACACCGAUGGCGAAGGCAGCCCCCUGGGCCUGUACUGACGCUCAUGCACGAAAGCGUGGGGAGCAAACAGGAUUAGAUACCCUGGUAGUCCACGCCCUAAACGAUGUCGACUAGUCGUUCGGAGCAGCAAUGCACUGAGUGACGCAGCUAACGCGUGAAGUCGACCGCCUGGGGAGUACGGCCGCAAGGUUAAA
rnacentral:rRNA from 1 species